GAUGAACGCUGGCGGCGUGCCUAAUACAUGCAAGUCGAGCGAAAAGACGAUGAUCUUGCUCCUCUGACGUUAGCGGCGCACGGGUGUGUAACACGUGGAUAACCUACCUAUAAUACGGGUAUAACUUCGGGAAACCGGAUCUAAUACCGGAUAAUAUAUUGAACCGCAUGGUUCGAUGGUAAAUUUCGGUGUUUCUGGCACUUCUAGAUGGAUCCGCGCCGCAUUGUCUGGUUGUUAAGGUAACGGCUUAUCAAGGCGACGAUGCGUGUCCGACCUGCGGGGGUGAUCGGCCACACGGGAACUGAGACACGGUCCAGAGUCCUACGGGAGGCAGCAGUAGGGUAUCUUCCGCAAAAGGCGAAAACAUGACGGAGCAACGCCGCGUGAGAGAUGGAGGUCUUCGGAUCGUAAAACUCUGUUAUUAGGGAAGAACAAAUGUGUAAGGAAAUGUGCACGUAUUGACGGUACCUAAUCAGAAAGCCACGGCUAACUACGUG
rnacentral:rRNA from 1 species